AUUGAACGCUGGCGGCAGGCCUAACACAUGCAAGUCGAACGAGUGGCGGACGGGUGAGUAAUGUCUGGGAAACUGCCUGAUGGAGGGGGAUAACUACUGGAAACGGUAGCUAAUCCCGCAUACCAUCGGAUGUGCCCAGAUGGGCUUAGCUAGUAGGUGGGGUAACGGCUCACCUAGGCGACGAUCCCUAGCUGGUCUGAGAGGAUGACAAGCCAGACUGGAACUGAGACACGGUCCAGACUCCUACGGGAGGCAGCAGUGGGGAAUAUUGCACAAGGGGCGCAAGCCUGAUGCAGCCAUGCCGCGUGUAUGAAGAAGGCCUUCGGGUUGUAAAGUACGUUCAGCGGGGAGGCGUUACCCGCAGAAGAAGCACCGGCUAACUCCGUGCCAGCAGCCGCGGUAAUAC
rnacentral:rRNA from 1 species